GACGAACGCUGGCGGCGUGCUUAACACAUGCAAGUCGAACGGAAAGGCCCUGCUUUUGUGGGGUGCUCGAGUGGCGAACGGGUGAGUAACACGUGAGUAACCUGCCCUUGACUUUGGGAUAACUUCAGGAAACUGGGGCUAAUACCGGAUAGGAGCUCCUGCUGCAUGGUGGGGGUUGGAAAGUUUCGGCGGUUGGGGAUGGACUCGCGGCUUAUGAGCUUGAUGGUGGGGUAGGGGCUUACCAAGGCUUUGACGGGUAGCCGGCCUGAGAGUGUGACCGGCCCCAUUCGCCCACGGGUGCCACCCGUGCGCCUUCUGGGAGCAGCGGUGGGAACUAGUUCCAGCUGGGCCGAGGCCGUGAGCAGCACCUCCGCGUUCGAGAGGACGUCUUUCGGGUUGGAAACCGCUUUCGCCUGUGACGAGGCGUGAUGAAGGUAACUAGAGAAAGAGGCACCGCUUACCUCCUG
rnacentral:rRNA from 1 species